GAGCGAGCACCACCUUGCAGAACUGCCCUGCCGCCCUACUCCCAUUGAAGUCUAUGAGACCUCCGCCGCUUACCAUGGCCUGUCUACACCUGGAAGACAACAGGAUCAAAAGCAUCUGCAAGCAGGCAUUCUCAGGACUCUACUCACUAAGAAGACUAUUUCUCAGUCAGAAUCGGAUUACGUUGUUGAAGGCUGGCAUUUUUGAAGACCUUUGGAACCUGGAGUGGCUGAUUCUUGAUGAAAAUAGAAUAGCAUCUCUGAGACAGAAAUCGUUUGAGGGGCUGAAAUCGUUAUUUUUCCUGUCUUUGCUGAACAAUUCCCUAGAAUCCAUCCCCAAGAAAUCUGUCUGCCAGGAAAUGCCUAGAUUAAACUGG